rnacentral:lncRNA from 1 species
AUCAAUACGGAAAAAAUGUUUUAUAUUUGUUUUAUAAUAUAGCAAUGUCAAAAGCCCGAAGAAUAAGAAAAAUUUCCGUGUUAACAAGCGGCGGAAAAUUUCCCGUGUUGACAUGGAGUUAUAUCAACACGGCUCUUAGCCAAUCAGCGUUCAGAAUUAACAAAUGCUAUAUUAUAAAACUAUAUAUCAAUACGGAAAAAUGUUUUAUAUUUGUUUUAUAAUAUAGCAAUGUCAAAAGCCCGAAGAAUAAGAAAAAUUUCCGUGUUUACAAGCGGCGGAAAAUUUCCCGUGUUGACAUGGAGUUAUAUCAACACGGCUCUUAGCCAAUCAGCGUUCAGAAUUUACAAAUGCUAUAUUAUAAACAACUAUCGUACGCAAAUAACUCACUUUAUUU